UACGGAGGAUCCAAGCGUUAUCCGGAUUUCUUGGGUUUAAAGGGUGCGUAGGCGGCCUGUUAAGUCAGGGGUGAAAGACGGUAGCUCAACUAUCGCAGUGCCCUUGAUACUGAUGGGCUUGAAUGGACUAGAGGUAGGCGGAAUGAGACAAGUAGCGGUGAAAUGCAUAGAUAUGUCUCAGAACACCGAUUGCGAAGGCAGCUUACUAUGGUCUUAUUGACGCUGAGGCACGAAAGCGUGGGGAUCAAACAGG
rnacentral:rRNA from 1 species